rnacentral:rRNA from 1 species
GACGAACGCUGGCAGCGUGCCUAAUACAUGCAAGUCGAGCGAAGUUUUUCUGGUGCUUGCACCGGAAAAACUUAGCGGCGAACGGGUGAGUAACACGUAAAGAACCUGCCUCAUAGACUGGGACAACUAUUGGAAACGAUAGCUAAUACCGGAUAACAGCAUUAACUGCAUGGUUGAUGUUUAAAAGUUGGUUUUGCUAACACUAUGAGAUGGCUUUGCGGUGCAUUAGCUAGUUGGUGGGGUAAAGGCCUACCAAGGCGACGAUGCAUAGCCGACCUGAGAGGGUGAUCGGCCACACUGGGACUGAGACACGGCCCAGACUCCUACGGGAGGCAGCAGUAGGGAAUCUUCCGCAAUGGGCGAAAGCCUGACGGAGCAACGCCGCGUGAGUGAAGAAGGAUUUCGGUUCGUAAAGCUCUGUUGUUAGGGAAGAAUGAUUGUGUAGUAACUAUACACAGUAGAGACGGUACCUAACCAGAAAGCCACGGCUAACUACGUG